rnacentral:rRNA from 1 species
CAUGCAUGUCUAAGUAUAAGCAAUUAUACAGCGAAACUGCGAAUGGCUCAUUAUAUAAGUUAUCGUUUAUUUGAUAGUACCUUACUACUUGGAUAACCGUGGUAAUUCUAGAGCUAAUACAUGCUAAAAAUCCCGACUCCGGAAGGGAUGUAUUUAUUAGAUUAAAAACCAAUGCCCUCUGGGCUCCUUGGUGAUUCAUAAUAACUUUUCGAAUCGCAUGGCCUUGCGCCGGCGAUGGUUCAUUCAAAUUUCUUCCCUAUCAACUUUCGAUGUUUGGGUAUUGGCCAAACAUGGUCGCAACGGGUAACGGAGGGUUAGGGCUCGACCCCGGAGAAGGAGCCUGAGAAACGGCUACUACAUCCAAGGAAGGCAGCAGGCGCGCAAAUUACCCAAUCCCGAUUCGGGGAGGUAGUGACAAUAAAUACUGAUACAGGGCUCUUUUGGGUCUUGUAAUUGGAAUGAGUACAAUUUAAAUCCCUUAACGAGGAACAAUUGGAGGGCAAGUCUGGUGCCAGCAGCCGCGGUAAUUCCAGCUCCAAUAGCGUAUAUUAAAGUUGUUGUGGUUAAAAAGCUCGUAGUUGAACCUUGGGCCUGGCUGGCCGGUCCGCCUCACCGCGUGCACUGGUCCGGCCGGGCCUUUCCCUCUGUGGAACCCCAUGCCCUUCACUGGGUGUGGCGGGGAAACAGGACUUUUACUUUGAAAAAAUUAGAGUGCUCCAGGCAGGCCUAUGCUCGAAUACAUUAGCAUGGAAUAAUGAAAUAGGACGUGUGGUUCUAUUUUGUUGGUUUCUAGGACCGCCGUAAUGAUUAAUAGGGACAGUCGGGGGCAUCAGUAUUCAAUUGUCAGAGGUGAAAUUCUUGGAUUUAUUGAAGACUAACUACUGCGAAAGCAUUUGCCAAGGAUGUUUUCAUUAAUCAGGAACGAAAGUUAGGGGAUCGAAGACGAUCAGAUACCGUCGUAGUCUUAACCAUAAACUAUGCCGACUAGGGAUCGGACGAUGUUAUUUUUUGACGCGUUCGGCACCUUACGAGAAAUCAAAGUGCUUGGGCUCCAGGGGGAGUAUGGUCGCAGGUGA